rnacentral:lncRNA from 1 species
CAACAGACGUGAUUGGAAUAAAUGGAUCAGUCACUUUAUGACAACCAGAAAGUGCAGCUACAACUGGUCUAACAUGUUCAACUGACUGAGCAGGUGAUCUUAUGAGGACCUGGGCAGGACAAAGCUUCUUACUUCUGGUAGAAAAUCCUAACACUGGAUCAAUUUUAGAUAGCUUUAAUAACAACAAAUUGAUCACAUCUGCAUUAUCUUCCACAAAGCAGAAGUUAAAAUAAAAAGAGUAAUUAAUCUCCCAGUAUUUACCGUGUAGUUAUCACUAAAGUACUAGCAUGACAUUCUACAGAAAAUAUUUAUAUUUUUUUAGUUAUUAACUUUUCCUCACUGUAGAGCGUUUGUCAAACCCUGUCUGGCUUGAGCCACAAGACCCAGGGUAUCAUUUUUCAAGAGUGCUGUGCUCUACAGGCUGCCAGCUUAUUUGGAAACAGAUCAAGAAUCUCUUAACACAGACAAACACCUCAGCCUAGAAGUGCUUUGUCACCUUUGCAAACAGGACUUCAACUCACUUGGCUGGUACCACCAGAGCCUCUAGUGGAUACUUUUUUGUAUUGCAAAACUUCAGCACAGACAUCAUAUUCUGCAAUUGACAGAUGUUAUCCUACUGGAGAAAUAGUGAAAUUCCACAGCUGCCAACGAAGCACAGCAAAGAGCAGUUCCUUGAAGCAAGCCUUGCUUCGCCACAGCCAUUUCCCUCUGUCUGAUGAGGAGUCGGCACCCCAAUGCAGCAAGCAUUUCCAAAGGACCUCGGAAAUCUCAUGCAACAAAUUCCUUUUGGCACAGCUCUCAAUAGUGAAGCAAGCUGUCAAGACAUCUUCCCAGAGGAUCACAGAGCUCCCGCCCAGGAAUUAGCAGAGAAAUUUCAGCACUUGCAUUAGUGCAAUGCCCCCGGCUGCUCUGCAGGCUGAACCAGGGCUGAGACUGCUUAACACUUUCAGUGCAGUGCAAGAGUGUCACUGUUUUCAUACAGAAGAACUACUAAAAAUACAUCAGAUGUAAGAAAAUGCUUCUUGUUGGAAGCACAAUCUAGUGCGUCCUUCCCAG